CUCCUUCGUUUCUCCACCGAUUCCGACGAGUGAGGUAAUCCGACUCCGCCUUCAGAGCAGGCAGGACCCUCUCGGGGUCACGCAGCUUGGGACUACUUCCAGUAGUUGACUGGAACGAGCUGCAGUGCCGUGUUUUGUACCCCAGCUAUCACGAGCCGCAGUACUUGAGCUUUCUCGGAGCCUCAG